rnacentral:rRNA from 1 species
UACGAAGGGGGCUAGCGUUGCUCGGAAUUACUGGGCGUAAAGGGCGCGCAGGCGGCUGCUCAAGUCAGGCGUGAAAGGCCUGGGCUCAACCCGGGAAUUGCGCUUGAGACUGGGCUGGCUUGAAGGUGGGAGAGGGUAGCGGAAUUCCCGGUGUAGUGGUGAAAUGCGUAGAUAUCUGGAGGAACACCGGUGGCGAAGGCGGCAUCCUGGACCAUGACUGACGCUGAGGAGCGAAAGCCAGGGGAGCAAACGGG